UCUCUCUUCUUAUUUAUCUUCUUAAACUAUGUUUACAGCUAGCUUAUAGUCUGCUAUUGUACCUGUUCUAACCCGCUUAAAAACCCCCUACCAAAUACUGGUGGGCUUGGAGCCAGCAGCAAAAGCCCAUUAUUAACGGGACGCACGCGCGCGCGCGCAGGGGACAAGUCGAGGGAGAGCUAGCUAGCUUAGCUUGCUUGGUUGCUUUGGAGGUGUGGCUUGCCAUGGCGAGAGCGUUCCGCGCGGCCUCGCCGCUGCCGCUGCCGUCCUCCAGCUCCAGGGCGGCCGCGGCGAGCGGUGGCACCGGCGGAGGCGGAGGCGGGAACUUCCCGUGGCUGAGCAGGAAGCGGCUGGGCGCCAAGCCGCCGUCGCCGCAGCGGCGAGGUGGACAGGAGAGGGAGGGAGGUGGAGAUGAGGCGGCGGGGAUGGGGACGACGACGAGGGCCGCGCGGUUCUCCGCGACGUCGUCCGCGGAGCCUGCUGAGGUGCAGUCGUCGUCGUCGUCGAGGAAGCGCGCGGACGCGCUGGCGAGGCUGCGGGCGGCGUUCCUGGCGGCGAUCACGCACCGGCGGCGGCGGCGGCAGCUGGGGUCGAGCCUGACGGGCACCAUCUUCGGGCGGCGCCGCGGCCGCGUUCACGUCGCGCUGCAGACGGACACCCGCUCGCCGCCGGUGCUGCUGGUGGAGAUGGCCGCCUACUCCACCGGCGCGCUCGUCAGGGAGAUGUCCUCCGGCCUCGUCCGCCUCGCGCUCGAGUGCGAGAAGCAACCAAUCAACCCAGGCGAGAAGCGGCGGGCGCUGCUGGAGGAGCCGACGUGGCGGGCCUACUGCAACGGCCGAAAGUGCGGCUUCGCGGUGCGCAGGGAGUGCGGCGCCGACGAGUGGAGGGUUCUUGGCGCCGUCGAGCCGGUGUCCGUCGGCGCCGGCGUUCUCCCCGACGACGCCGCCGCCGCCGCCGCCGCCGAGGAGGGCGACCUGAUGUACAUGCGCGCGAGGUUCGAGCGGGUGGUCGGGUCGAGGGACUCGGAGGCGUUCUACAUGAUGAACCCUGACGGCAGCGGCGGCCCGGAGCUCAGCAUCUACCUGCUCAGAGUCUGACCAUGGAUCAUACUAUCAUGGAGCAAAAUCGAAAAGAAAAAAUGAGAGAAGAAAUCAUCUUGAUGUUUGCAAUUAAUUAUGAUGCAGCAGUGUUCCUAAAUCCUUCACGCCAAGAAGUGCAAACCCUAUUGGGAAUCCUGAACAAAUUCGGGGAUGCCACGGGCCUGCAGGUAAACACAACAAAGAGUUCAAUCACGCCAAUUCGAUGCAACGACAUAGAUCUCCAAGAUAUUUCUCAAAACUUCGAUGGGCAGCUGGGUGCUUUUCCCCAAACCUACCUUGGACUGCCUCUUACUACGGGGAAGUUAAAGCGGGUCCAUUUGCAGCCGGUAAUGGACAAAAUCAGAGCAAGGAUGGGGGGCUGGAAAAACAAGCUGGUUUAUCAAAGCGGGCGGAAGGUUCUUGUGCAAUCAGUUCUCAAUGCCAUUCCAACCUACUUGCUGACCGUUCUUAAACCACCAAAAGGAUUCCUAAAUGAUGUUGACAAAGCGCAACGAAAAUUUCUUUGGGCCGGAGACCAAGAAAGUUUGGGCGGAAAAUGUAAAGUGAAUUGGCAGCAAGUAUGUUCUCCGACAAUACAUGGUGGAUUGGGCAUACCUUGUUUGGAGAAGUUCUCACGAUCGCUGAGGCUACGUUGGCUCUGGUAUGAGUGGACAAGCCCGGAAAAAAACAUGGAUAGGAACCCCGCCGCCCUGUGAUGACACCGAUCGUGCUCUGUUUGCUGCUGCCACCAAAGUAUCGGUCGGAGAUGGACGAAAGGCGAAAUUUUGGGAAUCCAACUGGAUAGGAGAUCAGCCGCUGAAAUACCUAGCCCCAAACCUCUUCAAACACUCCAAAAGGAAAAACAGGUCGGUUCUUGAGGCAAUAACUAAUGAUGCUUGGAUCGAAGACAUCCGCGGAGGGGUGACAAUACAGCUGCUUCAGGAAUAUAUAUGCGUAUGGGAAGUGCUCCACAACGCAGGAGAGGUGAUCCAUGAAGGGGCUGAGGACACAAUCCUCUGGAGGUGGUCGGCCAGUGGCUUGUAUACGGCAAAAUCAGCAUAUGUCAUGCAGUUCAUGGGCAAAACGUUUUCGGAUUCUGCUGAGCUUGUAUGGAAACUUGGGCACCAGGGAAACACAAAUUCUUCGCGUGGCUGCUGGCACAAAAUAGAAUAUGGACGGCAGAUCGUUUGCAAUGCAGGGGCUGGCCAAAUAACUAUUUCUGCCAACUCUGUUUCAGAAAUCUCGAAACGGUAUAGCACCUCUUCAUGGAGUGCCCCUUCAUGCAGCAGGUAUGGCGGGACAUUGGUCGCAAAUUCAGACCGCAAUGUUUCCUACAUGUGACCACAGACAACACUCUCCUCAAUUGGCAGCGCGAGCAAACAGAUGAGGCAGAAAAGUUGCAACAGAAAGGGCUACGUUCAGCAGUCUUGACCACGCUUUGGGAGAUUUGGAUGGAAAGGAAUAAUCGCAUCUUCAGAGGGAAAGAAUCUACACCAUCGGCACUUGCUAGCAAGAUCAUAGAUGAGCUUCGUUUGUGGGAAAUGGCAGGUGCCAAGGGAGUGAAGUGUAUUAUAUUAAGAGAUUAGGCUUUUGUUUUUUAGGGAGUGCAGGCAGGAAGAAUUCCUCCGGGAACGUCUCCCCUGCCUUCUGUUCUGUACAGUUUCUCUCACUUCUUCUAUAAUAUAAAACCA